rnacentral:misc_RNA from 1 species
UCCGGUUUGGCACCGGCAGUCUCCAAUGAGUCCCCGGCAUUACCCGCUGGCAACAUUGGACAGGGGUUGCGCUCGUUGCGCCACUUAAGGCAACACCUCACGGCACGAGCUGACGACAGCCAUGCAGCACCUGUGCAGGCUCCCGAAGGGCUGCCGUGUUUCCACGACAUUCCAGUGCAUGUCAAGCCUUGGUAAGGUUCUUCGCGUUGCGUCGAAUUAAACCACAUGCUCCGCUGCUUGUGCGGGCCCCCGUCAAUUCCUUUGAGUUUCAGCCUUGCGGCCGUACUCCCCAGGCGGAGUGCUUAUUGGGUUUCCUUCGGCACUGAGGACAGGAAGCCCCCAACACCUAGCACUCAUCGUUUACGGCGUGGACUAC